AUUGUUUAUGAAGAAGUAUAUAUAAUGCAGUUUAUUGAAAAAGAUUUCAAUUUAAAGUAAUAGUGCAUGAAAUAAGCAUAGUGUGGCAUGUUGCAAAGUGGUCUGAAUCGCAAGUCCCAAGAAUUAGGAUCUAAUCUUGAUGGUGCUUAAAAAAUUACACAAUAUAAAUAUUUACAUAGCAUUUUAUGGCAUAAAAAGCUUUUUUUUUUCAUUUAACAAUAGCUAGCAUUUACUGAGCACUUACCAUGUACCAGACAUGGUGAUGUUAUUAAUUCCUACAACGCCUCUAUGAGGUGCAAGCCCAGAGGCAGUCUAUACCCCGACUCAACUGGCUGGUCCUCAGUGCUGCCUGCUUCCGUGCCCAACUUAGAACUACACAUCUGCUGCCUCCUGGUAACAUGUCAUUAUAAGUCUGAAGAUUGCCAUUUGAAAUGCUCUUUGAGGGACGUGAAGUCAACCCCAGAUCCAAAGUAGCUUUGAUGUUUGUCAGGAAAAUGCUGGAGUUCUAUAUACUACAGUUUCCACAGAGCAUGAAGAACUCCAACUUCAGAUAACCUGCAAAAAAAGUCAGAGAGCAAUUAAAUGUA
rnacentral:lncRNA from 1 species